rfam:Danio rerio chromosome 4, GRCz11 reference primary assembly.
GGCCUGUUAGCUCAGCUGGUUAGAGCGUAGUGCUAAUAACACCAAGGUUGCGGGUUCGAUCCCCGUACUGGCUA